CUUCACCGAGCCCAUCCACAGCGGCCAGUCCUCGGGCCGGUCCUGCCCGUAGGUCGCCAGCAGGGCGUGGGCCUC
rnacentral:antisense_RNA from 2 species